GUGGGGAAUAUUGGACAAUGGGCGAAAGCCUGAUCCAGCCAUGCCGCGUGUGUGAAGAAGGUCUUCGGAUUGUAAAGCACUUUAAGUUGGGAGGAAGGGCAGUAAGUUAAUACCUUGCUGUUUUGACGUUACCGACAGAAUAAGCACCGGCUAACUUCGUGCCAGCAGCCGCGGUAAUACGAAGGGUGCAAGCGUUAAUCGGAAUUACAGGGCGUAAAGCGCGCGUAGGUGGUUUUGUAAGUUGGAGGUGAAAUCCCCGGGCUCAACCUGGGAACUGCCUCCAAAACUGCAUGACUAGAGUACGGUAGAGGGUAGUGGAAUUUCCUGUGUAGCGGUGAAAUGCGUAGAUAUAGGAAGGAACACCAGUGGCGAAGGCGACUACCUGGACUGAUACUGACACUGAGGUGCGAAAGCGUGGGGAGCAAACAGGAUUAGAAACCCCUGUAGUCC
rnacentral:rRNA from 1 species